rnacentral:rRNA from 1 species
UACAGAGGUCUCAAGCGUUGUUCGGAUUCAUUGGGCGUAAAGGGUGUGUAGGUGGCGCCGUAAGUCGGGUGUGAAAUUUCGGAGCUUAACUCCGAAACUGCAUUCGAUACUGCGGUGCUUGAGGACUGGAGAGGAGACUGGAAUUCGAUGGUGUAGCAGUGAAAUGCGUAGAGAUCAUGAGGAAGACCAGUGGCGAAGGCGGGUCUCUGGACAGUUCCUGACACUGAGACACGAAGGUCAGGGGAGCAAACGGG